rnacentral:rRNA from 1 species
GGACGCUGGCGGCGGCUAACACAUGCAAGUCGAGCGCGCCUUCGGGUGAGCGGCGGACGGGUUAGUAACGCGUGGGAACGUGCCCUUCUCUACGGAAUAGCCUCUGGAAACGGAGAGUAAUACCGUAUACGCCCUUUGGGGGAAAGAUUUAUCGGAGAAGGAUCGGCCCGCGUUAGAUUAGGUAGUUGGUGGGGUAAUGGCCUACCAAGGCGACGAUCCAUAGCUGGUUUUAGAGGAUGAUCAGCAACACUGGGACUGAGACACGGCUCAGACUCCUACGGGAGGCAGCAGUGGGGAAUCUUAGACAAUGGGGGCAACCCUGAUCUAGCCAUGCCGCGUGAGUGAUGAAGGCCUUAGGGUCGUAAAGCUCUUUCGCCUGUGAUGAUAAUGACAGUAGCAGGUAAAGAAACCCCGGCUAACUCCGUGCCAGCAGCCGCGGUAAUACGGAGGGGGUUAGCGUUGUUCGGAAUUACUGGGCGUAAAGCGCGCGUAGGCGGAUUAGAAAGUUGGGGGUGAAAUCCCGGGGCUCAACCCCGGAACUGCCUCCAAAACUGCUAGUCUAGAGUUCGAGAGAGGUGAGUGGAAUUCCGAGUGUAGAGGUGAAAUUCGUAGAUAUUCGGAGGAACACAGUGGCGAAAGCGGCUCACUGGCUCGAUACUGACGCUCAGGGCGAAAGUGUGGGAGCCACAGGAUUGAUACCUGGUGUCCCACCCUUACGAUGAAGGCC